AGGUAAGCUACUAAGAGCGAAUGGUGGAUGCCUUGACUGGUAAAGGCGAUGAAGGACGUACUAGACUGCGAUAAGCUACGGGGAGCUGUCAAGAAGCUUUGAUCCGUAGAUUUCCGAAUGGGGCAACCCAAUGUAUAGAGAUAUACAUUACCUAUAUAGGAGCGAACGAGGGGAAUUGAAACAUCUUAGUACCCUCAGGAAAAGAAAUCAAUAGAGAUUGCGUCAGUAGCGGCGAGCGAAAGCGCAAGAGGGCAAACCCAGUGCUUGCACUGGGGGUUGUAGGACUGCAAUGUGCAAGAGCUGAGUUUAGCAGAACAUUCUGGAAAGUAUAGCCAUAGAGGGUGAUAGUCCCGUAUGCGAAAAACAAAGCUUAGCUAGCAGUAUCCUGAGUAGGGCGGGACACGAGGAAUCCUGUCUGAAUCCGGGUCGACCACGAUCCAACCCUAAAUACUAAUACCAGAUCGAUAGUGCACAAGUACCGUGAGGGAAAGGUGAAAAGAACUGAGGUGAUCAGAGUGAAAUAGAACCUGAAACCAUUUGCUUACAAUCAUUCAGAGCACUAUGUAGCAAUACAGUGUGAUGGACUGCCUUUUGCAUAAUGAGCCUGCGAGUUGUGGUGUCUGGCAAGGUUAAGCAAACGCGAAGCCGUAGCGAAAGCGAGUCUGAAUAGGGCGCUUAGUCAGAUGCUGCAGACCCGAAACGAAGUGAUCUAUCCAUGAGCAAGUUGAAGCUAGUGUAAGAACUAGUGGAGGACUGAACCCAUAGGCGUUGAAAAGCCCCGGGAUGACUUGUGGAUAGGGGUGAAAGGCCAAUCAAACUUCGUGAUAGCUGGUUCUCUCCGAAAUAUAUUUAGGUAUAGCGUUGUGUCGUAAUAUAAGGGGGUAGAGCACUGAAUGGGCUAGGGCAUACACCAAUGUACCAAACCCUAUCAAACUCCGAAUACCUUAUAUGUAAUCACAGCAGUCAGGCGGCGAGUGAUAAAAUCCGUCGUCAAGAGGGAAACAACCCAGACUACCAGCUAAGGUCCCUAAAUCUUACUUAAGUGGAAAACGAUGUGAAGUUACUUAAACAACCAGGAGGUUGGCUUAGAAGCAGCCAUCCUUUAAAGAAAGCGUAAUAGCUCACUGGUCUAGUGAUUUUGCGCGGAAAAUAUAACGGGGCUAAAGUAAGUACCGAAGCUGUAGACUUAGUUUACUAAGUGGUAGGAGAGCGUUCUAUUUGCGUCGAAGGUAUACCGGUAAGGAGUGCUGGAGCGAAUAGAAGUGAGCAUGCAGGCAUGAGUAGCGAUAAUUAAUGUGAGAAUCAUUAACGCCGUAAACCCAAGGUUUCCUACGCGAUGCUCGUCAUCGUAGGGUUAGUCGGGUCCUAAGUCGAGUCCGAAAGGGGUAGACGAUGGCAAAUUGGUUAAUAU
rnacentral:rRNA from 1 species